AAAAGGACCACUGUCUUUGCAGCAGUCAUGAAUCUGAAAUAAUAGAUUAUUUUUGUAUUUGCUGCACACCGCUUACAGACUGUUUGGUUUCAGUUUUACAACAAAAAUGGGUUUUGGAUUGUGUGUGAGAGUUCUUGUGAUCUCACUCUUGAUUUUUGGGCAGCAAGCAAAGGCACUCAGCUACAGAAGUGGAGGCUCCAGUGGCAUUACACCUCACUUUGAUUUUUCAAGAAGCCUUAAACCCGCUUCCACUUCCAGUGAUGAUAGUUCAGCACAGCCUGAGAGGGUUU